rnacentral:rRNA from 1 species
CUUAACACAUGCAAGUCGUCUUGAAUUAACCUUCGGGUUAAAAUAGAGAGGCGGACGGGUGAGUAACGCGUAAAGAACUUGCCCCAUAGACCGGGAUAACAACUCGAAAGAGUUGCUAAUACUGGAUAUUAUAUAUUGAAGGCAUCUUUAGUAUAUGAAAGCUAAGGCACUAUGGGAGAGCUUUGCGUCCUAUUAGCUAGUUGGUGAGGUAAGAGCUCACCAAGGCGACGAUAGGUAGCCGGCCUGAGAGGGUGAACGGCCACAAGGGGACUGAGACACGGCCCUUACUCCUACGGGAAGCAGCAGUGGGGAAUAUUGGACAAUGGGCAAAGGCCUGAUCCAGCAAUUCUGUGUGGAAGAAGAAGGUUUUCGGAUCGUAUAUUCCUUUCAUUUGGGAAGAAAAGUAUGACGGUACCAAAAGAAGAAGCAACGGCUAAUUACGUGCCAGCAGCCGCGGUAAUACGUAAGUUGCAAGCGUUAUCCGGAAUUACUGGGCAUAAAGGGCAUCUAGGCGGUUUCGCAAGUCAGAAGUGAAAAUUCAGGGCUCAACCCUGUCCUUGCUUUUGAAACUGCGAGACUAGAGUACAGGAGAGGAGGGCGGAACUACAAGUGUAGAGGUGAAAUUCGUAGAUAUUUGUAGGAAUGCCAAUGACGAAGGUAGCUCUCUGGACUGAAACUGACGCUGAAGUGCGAAAGUUAGGGUAGCAAAAGGGAUUAGAUACCCCGGUAGUCCUACCUGUAAACGAUGAUUACUGGGUGUGGGGGAGCGAAACCUCUGUGCCGAAGCAAACGCGAUAAGUAAUCCGCCUGGGGAGUACGACCGCAAGGUUGAAACUCAAAGGAAUUGACGGGGACCCGCACAAGCGGUGGAGCAUGUGGUUUAAUUCGACGCAACGCGAGGAACCUUACCAGGUCUUGACAUCGUAGGAAUUUAUUAGAGAUAAUGAAGUGCCUCUAUGAGGAACCUAUAGACAGGUGGUGCAUGGCUGUCGUCAGCUCGUGUCGUGAGAUGUUAGGUUAAGUCCUAUAACGAGCGCAACCCCUAUUGAUAGUUGCUAACAUUAAGUUGAGGACUCUAUCGAGACUGCCUGCGACGAGCAGGAGGAAGGUGGGGAUGACGUCAAGUCAUCAUGCCCCUUAUGACCUGGGCUACACACGUGCUACAAUGGGUAGUACAAAGAGUUGCAAAACCGUGAGGUAGAGCUAAUCUCAUAAAGUUAGUCUCAGUUCGGAUUGUAGUCUGCAACUCGACUACAUGAAGUUGGAAUCGCUAGUAAUCGUAAAUCAGAAUGUUACGGUGAAUACGUUCUCGAGUCUUGUACACACCGCCCGUCA